CUUCCCACGCCCACGGUAUAGGAGUGCUUGUUGUGUGAUCGUCGAAAGUUUACAUGUGAUCUUUCUUCACGAGCGUCCUCUGACGGAAACCCAGUUUCCUCCUGCCAAUCUCGAGAAGACCUUAUCAGAAACAACUCAACGGAGGUCGAGCUGUGUCAGAAACUCCAGAGCGUCGACAACAAAUAUCAGCGGCCAGCCGUGAAGCAAUGUGUCCCUUGGCUGGCAUCGUGGCCUCUCUACUGGUCGUGGCAGCGACGGCGAUGCCGCCUUUCGCGCACAGCGCCAACUGCAGCGGAGAAGUGGAAGCAAUCUGUACGGAGUGCAUUCGGGUUACUGGGGCCAGCGAAGCCUACGACAACUGCUGCCAGAACUUGCAUGACAUCCUCGACUACUGUCGUCACUUCCUCCUCUAUUCUGUGUGACUUCCACCGAGUGACCCAUUACCCAAUAAAUUCAAUGUGGACACUCAAAAA